GCCGGUGUCGUAUAGAGGUUAGUACAAGUCGUUGUGGCCGACUAAACCCAGGUUCGAUUCCUGGCACCGGCA